ensembl:lncRNA
GGGGGUUAUGUAUAACUGAGAGUCAGCUGCCAGGUAACACCUCGGCCUUCCUACUGGAAAUCCUUCCUGUGGGAUGGGUCCAUGAAGCUUCUUCUGCAUGUGAAACCUGGAAAGAGAGAGACACGGUCUCAGUUGCUUCCUCAAAGUGCUCACAGACACCAUUCUUGGAGGCAGAAUUCAGGUCAGUUUCUAUCUCCAGAUCUUCCUAUCACAAGAAAUUGGAUUUCAGCUCUGGUUUUCUCCAUGGGACACAGCACAAACAUUGGAUUGGGGGUCACCUUCUGACUUAAAUCACUUCUUGUCUCAUCAUGAAAGGUGAGCAGCUUGACCUUCACAGCAGAAGGGACUGGUGACAAGUCAGGAAACCUGAGCGAACUUCCCAAGGACCUAACCCUUGGGAAGAGGUUAAGGCUUUAACAAGGAAAACAAAGAAACAACUCAAUAGCAGGCAAUAGGACAGCGUUUAAUUGAGAUAUGGUUUGAAUAUUAAAAAAAAAUCUGGUGGGGCCACAGUGUUCAUAGAAAAGAAUUGCUCCUGUGGUCAAGGUGGCCAAGAGAAGGCUCUCAGAAUCAGAUCUCAGAUGGGAUGGAAGACAAGAUGUGGAAGAAAUUAGUGGGGUUUUCUUGAUACUUAAAAGGUGACCUUGUUUCCAAGAUUGUUGAUAACGGUGUUUUGGUUCCAUUAUCUCCCAUCUCGCUGCCCCAACCCCACUGUUUUUGUCUGGAGGCUGCAUGUGUUGGCGCAGAGUUAUUCCCAUUGGCCUCAGAGCCCAGUUACUCAUUCAAAAAUAUUUAUUGAAAGCCUUGUACAUGCCAGGUAUGUUCUAGUUGCUGCAGAGACCAAAACAACCACAGAGCUUGUGGCCUCUUCAAGGAAAGACAGACAAUAAACAAUGAACAAAUAAAUAAAUGAACUAGUACAAAUAGUAGUUGAUAAUAUCAAGAAAAUACAUGGGAGGAUGGGAGAGAGAGUGGCUAGUUGGGGAUUUUCUUCUUUAGAUAGGACCCAGGGAGGCCUUUGUGAAAGGAAUGCAUGUGAGCUGAGUGGCACCGAUGACGAGAAGCCAGCCACCAAGGGCCAGCUGGGAGAGUGUCCCUGGCAAGAAGUGCUGGUGCAAAGUUUGGAGAUGGGGAAGAGCUUGGAAAAAUACAGUAAGCAGGAGAGGAGAGGAGCCAGAGAGAAGCAGAAGACCAUCAAUCAAUCAGCUGUGCCCUUGAACGUACAGGUGACACCAAACUCAAGCUUUAGAUGACAGAGGCCAUGUACUGACUUUUCCCACUGCCUCAGCUUCAGCCAAGAGCAGACUCCAAUGCCCUUCAUUGCUUCAUAACAUGCUUGUGUAGGAGACUGAUAUAGUCCCCAUGGUCAUUCUGAAUGGCAGCCUUUCAGCUCUGCAGAAACUCAGAAACAACCAGAGAAAAAAAUGGCAGAGAUUUCUGGGGUCAAGGGUUCUAGAUUGGCAUCUGACCUUGCCCCCAGAGCUGAGUUCGCUGUCCAAGAGUUACCCCCAGUCUGGGGUCAGACAGAGGCAGCUGUGAAGGAAGCAGAUAAGAGGGUGUUGGGAGUUCCUGAGAGCCCACUGAAGACUCCACGAUCAAGAUCCAAGGAGCCAACCCAGGGAGCAUUUCCAUUACAAGAAGUAUAGUUUCAGUCAAGAUAUUUAAGGGAUUCUUUUUCAUCAGAUCUAUUGGAGACAAAAUGAAAAUCAUAUGGUCUUGAGAGAAAGAGAAUUUGUCACAUAGAAAAUUUUGGUCCUCAUUCUUCUGCAGCUGGGCCACAGUUGGACCAAAAGGUUAAAGUUUUGGAAUCAGACUCCUCCAUGGGCCAGCACGGUACAGCAACUGCAUCUGCCCAGCAGCCAGAAUCACUAAUACAUCUCCAGCCCUCCCAAUUCCCUCAUUUCCUGCAGAGCUCUCUCUACUCCAUUGACAUCUUAAGAAAAGUAGACUCUCCUUUGAAAAAGGUUGGUGAUCCCACAUUGAGAAAGACUAAAGAAAGCUCAGUCAUCCUAGAAGAUCUUGCUACCAUAUAAUAAAGAGUCUUCACCUUAAUCCCCCAGAUAUGUUUUUGUAUAUCAGAAGAUAAGUUUUGAAAUGUAAAUAUAAAUGGAGAGGAGAGAGAUCGUCCACUCUUUUUUACAUAAAUGCAAGCUCUUAGCUUUCUCAAAAAAGAAAGUACAUACACAGGGGUUUCUGGAUCUCAGAAUUUACCAACAGAGAAAAAUAAUCAGAAUUAAAGUUUGAUGGACUAGUUAUUUUAGUCAAACUCCCUUCCUCUGAUUACCAAGCACUGCGUAGGCUCACAGCGAAGAAGCUAGUCCUACGACUGUUACAUCAGCCCACCCAUUUCACAGGGCCCAGCCUCGUUUUAUAGUGAAUGAUGCAAGUAAAUGUCAGUGUUUAGGAACCAAGACACUAUUGUUCUCUUCUGUUGGGGAAAGGCCGGAAGCAUAGUCCAAUGAUGUGCAAGGUGAAAAUUCUUUCUGACUGAGCCAUCUUUUGCUGGGUCCAAGAAAUCAAAGAAAACGGCAUCACUCUGUGCUAAAAAUGUAUAGUACACAGUGACUACAUCAUCCAACAGGAGGCUGUGAAUUUGGUGAUGAUGUGAAGGAAACCAAUAACUGUAUUAAUGUGACACAGUACAAGAAAACACAAUGCAGAGGACUGAGCAGUUUGGGACGCGCAGGUAAGCUGUGAGGACCCAGAAAUGGACCUUUGAGACCUCAUGGAUCCCCCGAAGAGAGCGAAGGGCGGAGAACCCCGCCAGCUCGCCUCAGCUAUCGUCUGGGAGAUCUGUCGCCACCGCGGGCCUCCUGUUGUGAAAUCCGGACAUAACAAUUCACCACAUUUACCUUUUCAUGAGAAGGUGAUUGGUUUUCUUUUUGUCAAAUCUUGGAAAAUUAGGGGGAACAAGUAUGGAUUGAGUGCAUUGUUGCCUGCAUUCUUCCCUCCCUCCCACAACCUGGUGGAAUUGGUUCCUCAGUCCCCAAUGCACAACAGCAGUGUUUUUGAUAUGGCAACCCCGCUAUGAGGAGCAGUGUCAAUUAGAGAAAAGAGCACUAAUAGCACUAGCCUCCACUUGUUGAGCACCUACUCUGUGCCAAGCUAAAUACUUCAUGUGCAUUACGUACCAGAAGGUAACUAUCAAGAUAAAUCCAAUGAAAACCAAAGGAUGUCGUCAAAUUCAGCGAAUAAACUGCACCACUGAAAAUUUUUCAUGAACCACUAGCACACUACACUUUGGGAUAAUGACGUAGUUGAAACCUCUCAUUCAUAGAUUGUCCUUUAUUUGCCAGAGAUGUUUAAGUGAAACUAGAAGGUCAUUUAUCCUAAUGCCUUAAGGACCAAAUUAAAAGCAUCAUUUUUGCAUUCUCAGGGGAGAUUCAGAAAGUCCAUUUCAAUGGGCCUGGUAGAGUCAUCAUCUGGCUAGCGAUCCCAGUGGACAUUUCUCAUGUGCACUGGAUAUAUCAGAUACUAUUUAAUUUAAUUUUCAAAACACAUUAUUUUUCAGAUGAGGAAUCAGAGGCCCAAAUAGGUUGAUUGAACCCAGAUCUCGCCGGUAGUAAAUGGUCUUUCAGCCCACAAGUCUGGGGGCUGUCCUCUUCCCAAGGCUGGCUGAGCAGCCUUCUCAGGAAGGAUUGGUCUGGCUCUCACUGCCCCCAAGGCCAAUCCCAAAGCCAUCCUUUCACAACUGACUGCAAACAGCAUUGAGAGGUUGGGGAACCUUGCAUUUGAGGACUAGUUGGAAUCUGACCUCCCAAAAGCAGCUCUUCGUUCUCCCCAGCUAAAUGCCUCUCAUUUUCCAAGACCACUAAUUUGAGUUGGAUUGCAAAGGCCGGGUGGGAUUAAAACAAGCAGACUCAUGAUUCAUAAUCAAAUACCAUCAGACGAUCGUGAAGACUUGAGAAAUAAAGGGAGAAACCACAAUUACUGGGUAACAAUUGGCAAUGAUCUUCAAGCAGGCCUUUGUCCACAGAGCUUCGGACGUUAGAAUGGGGCUUUCUUCUCAGAUUCAUGAGAAGACUUCUCUUGUCAGCUUCUAGAUGAUACAUAUGGCAGAAAGGGUGUCCAUCAACUUCCCAGUGUUCCUUAAUGGUCAUUAGAGAGUUGCCUCUUUCUUUAUAUUUUUGAAAAAUCUACUGUGAAAUAUUUCAGACAUACAAAAAUAUGGAGAAAAUAAUGUAAUACAUGCAAGGGUAUCUAUCUCCCAGUUUGAAAAAAUAGAACUGUACAAACACACUUGAAGCAGUCUGUUUUCUUCAUCCCAUUCCCAUGGGGAUGCCCAUCAUAUCUAUGCAUGUCUUUAUACUUUGCCCACAGAAGUCUAUACACCUAAGCAAUCUUGAGCAUUAUUUUUGCACAACUAAACAUUGCAUAGUGACAUUAUUCACAACACAUUCUCAUGAAACUUUUUUUUUUGCUCCCCAAAGCCCCAGUACAUAGUUGUAUAUUCUAGCUGUAAGUCGUUCUAGUUCUUCUAUGUGAGCCACUGCCACAGCAUGGCUACUGACAGACGAGCAGUGUGGUUUCGUGUCCAGGAACCAAACCCAGGCUGUCAAAGUGGAGCACCCAGAGCUUAAGCACUAGACCAUCAGGGCUGGGUCUCCUGAAACUCUUUCAUGCAACAGUACAUGAACAAGACUCAUCCAUGUCGAUGCACAUAGUUCCAGUUCCUUUAUCGCUGUUGUAUAGGAUUCUACUUCACAAACACACUUCAGUUUAAUUCAAAAUCCUCUUGUGAAUACUUCAAUUGUUUCUAAUUUUUCACUAUUGUAAAUGAAGCUUAUAUGCACAGUCUUCAUAUCAUUCUUCUAUCAUUGAAUGCAUUUGUGCAUUCUUGCACAUUCUAUGUGUCUCCUUGGGUGUGUACGUGAGGUUUUUCUCUAGCAUAUAUUUCUAAAAAGGGAACUGCUGAAUCACAGGGUAUGUUCACUUUCAUCUUUAUUAAAUAUGGCUAAAUUGCUGUCCAAAGUCGUUGUACAAAUUUUCCUUCCUACCCGAGAAAUGUGAGUUCCUGUUUCUCCUUAUUCUUACCAACACUUAGCAUUUUCAGAGUUUUCAAUUUUUGCCAAUCUGAUGAGUAUGAAAUGGUAUCGCACUGUCAUUUAAAUUUGCAUUUCCUGAUUAUAAUGUGGUUGAGUAAUUUUUCAUUUUUUUUAUGGUCUUUAUGGGCCUUUUGGGUAUUUUCUUCUACAAAUUACAUGGUAAUAUCAUUUGCCUGUUUCUCCAGUGGGAUUAUUAUUCCUCUCAUUAUCAAUUUUUAAAUGUUCUUUAUAUAUUGUGUGUAUACAUAUUGCAAACAUUUUUAUGUCUUGUCCCUGUCAAUGGUUUUCUUUCUCCUUUUUUUUCUAUCUUGUUUGUCUUGAAACACACACUUUGUAUUUUACUCAAGGUGAAUUUAUCAAUUCUCUUUCCCUCCCUUUUUUUUUUUCUGAAGAAUAGUUGCUCUGAGCUAACAUCUGUGCCAAUCUUCCUCUAUUUUUUUGUAUGUGGGCCACCAUGGCAUGGCCACUAACAGAGCAGUGUAGGUCUGUGCCUGGGAAUUGAACCUAGGCUGCUGAAGCAGAGCGUGCUGAACUUAACCAUUAGGCCACCGGGGCUGGCCCAUCAAUUCUCUUUAUAUUUGUCUUCUUUGUAUCUUUAAAAAAAAAUUUCUCCCAUAUGCCAAGAUCACAAAUAUAAUUUCUUACAUGUUGUUAUAAAAGAACAAAAGUUUUUAUUUCCAUAUCUUAUGUCUUUAUUUUCCUUAGGGUUUAUUUUUGUAUAUAGUGUGAGACAAAGGAUAAAUUUCACUUUUUUCCUUAGUAUGUUCCCGGGGCCAUUUGUUAAGUAGACCAUCCUUUCGACACUGAUCUGAAAUACAACCUCUCAUAUAUCAAGUUUCUGUAUAGGUAUGGUUUGUUUCUGGGCUGAUUUAUUUGUUCCAGUUGGCCCUAUGCCAAUAUCACAGUGGCCAAAUUACUAUAGCUUCAAAGUUAGUCUUGAUUUCUGGUCAAACAUGUCCAUUAUGCCCUGGUUCUCUUCAAAAUUAUUUUCAAAAGGAGAUAUUUGUUGAUCUUUUUCUCUUCUAUGUUUUCAAAUCAACUUGUCAAUUUUCACAUAAUAUUUUGACAUUUUAAUUGGAGUUACUUUGGACUUUUAGAUUACUUGAGGAGAGUCAAAAUGUUUGUAGUUUUGAGUCUCUCUAUCCAUAAAUAUAGUGUAUCUCUCUCAUUUAUUUGGAUCUAUUAAAAUAUAUUUCAGUAAUGAUUUAUAUUUUUCUCCAUAAAUAUCAUUUCCAACUCUUGUUAAUCUUAUUUCCAGGAAAGUUAUAUAUUUUGUUUCUACCAUAAAUGGCUUCUUUUUUUUUUUUUUUUUUUUUUUUUUUUUUUUUUAUUUUUUUUUUUUAAAGAUUUUAUUUUUUUCCUUUUUCUCCCCAAAGCCCCCCCGGUACAUAGUUGUGUAUUCUUCAUUGUGGGUUCUUCUAGUUGUGGCAUGUGGGACGCUGCCUCAGCGUGGUCUGGUGAGCAGUGCCAUGUCCGCGCCCAGGAUUCGAACUAACGAAACACUGGGCCGCCUGCAGCGGAGCGCGCGAACUUAACCACUCGGCCACGGGGCCAGCCCCAAUGGCUUCUUUUUUAAAAGUAGCAUUUUUUGUUUGUUGCCAAUGUGUAUCGUUGUGACUAAUUUUGUAAAACUUGAUUUCAUUUCCAGUAAUAUUUUUAAAUAUUUUCUAAAUAUUACAAAAAAUAUUUGUAAAACUUGAUCUCGUUUCCAGUAAUAUUAUUAUUGGUAUUAAUAAUAAAUUAUUAAUAAUUAAUAAAUAAUUAAUAAUAAAUUAUUAAUACUAAUCAUUUGUUUGAAAAGUUUCUUAUGAUUUUAUGCAUAAAAUCAUGUCAUCUGUUAAUAAAAAUAGUUUUGGGUGUUUUCUUUUUCAAUUGCUUAUACAAUUUCUUUCUUUCUCUUAUACUUGGAUAUGGUCUAUGGAACAGUCUGGCAUAGAAACAAUGAUUCUAGGCAUAUUUUUCUGAUAUCUAUACGUUUCAUCAUUAAACAUGGUUACUCCAGGUUUUUGGAAUGUUCCUUUUAUCAAAUUUACUAAAUCUUCUUUUAAAAUUAUAAAUAAGUGUUGAAUUUUAUCAUAUGCUUUUGUGAAUCUAUUAAGAUUUUUUUUUCUUACAAUUAUUUUGUGUCAUGAAUUGCAUCAAGAGAUUUUCUAACGUUCAGCCACUCUUGUAUGUCUGAGAUUCACACAGCUUGGUCAUUUGGACAACAGUUCAAUGCUUUACCUCUGCUGACUGUAUGUGUGGCAACUGUUGGUUGUCCACCAGAUAGCCAUCCCCAUCCCACCUCUGGAACCCUGGUUUUGUCCAUUAGAUGGCCGUGAACUUCAAGGGAACUUUUUAACUAGUCCAAGUUAAUCACUGUAUUUCCAUUCCCUUACCAUAGCAGGGGAAAUCUGCUGAAGGGGAAAGAGGGAAGGGUUUUAGGGGACAUAUCCUUUGAGAUAAAAGAAUGAGAAAGUGUCUCUUCUGACUUUUGGACAUUGUUAUAUAUUGACGUGAUGCCUGGAGCUCCUGCAACCUUCUUGUUACCAGAGACAGCUCUCUUGCUACCUUUUCACAAAAUCAUCUGGCAAAGGUUGACAGAGAAGGGAGAUGGAAUGGACCUGGCUCCUUGAGAACAUUGCUGAGAUGCUGAAUGAACCCACCCCUGGAACUUCUCCAUCUCUGAACUUUUUGUGUUUGUGUCAAUAAUAGAUAUCUUAUUAUUUAAACCAUUUUAAAAUAUACCAUAAGUAAACUGAGGCUGAAAGUGCAACAUGCUGGUCUCUGAUGACUCUAGAGUUUGGUUCCUUCAUGUAUUCACUGAUAGCUUAGGCAAAAAUGUAUGGAGGGCUAACCACGUGCCAGGUACUGCACUAAGGACUGAAGAUAGAGAUGAUUGGGCUCUGCCUUCCAGGAGCUCACAGAUUGGGAAUGGAAAUAGAUUUAUAAACAAAUAAUUAAAAUCCAAAGUUAUAGAUUCAAGAGAAGAGGAAGCUCCACAAUGCUACGAGAGUAUGGGGGAUAAGGGUGGUUUUAAUUUUAUCCUGGGAGAGAAUGAGGAGAUAUCCAAAAGAUGGCUAGGCCUUGGAGAAUAAUUAAGUGUAUAAUUAAUCAUGAAGUCAGGAUAGGGGAAUCUAAAGGGCAGGGGCUAUGGGUGCAUGGCCCUGAAAUGACUUGGGAAGAGAAGCAGUUGGGUUCAGUUAGAGACAGUUUUGCAGAAAUAAGUUGCACGUUUUAAGGUAGAUGGAAUUUCAGUUUCCCUUUUAGGCCAUGGAUGUAGGAUGAGGAGCAGCCAGAGAGUGUUACAGCACAGUCUUCUGUGCUGGCCAGGUUUCCAGCAGCCAGGAAAGUGUGAGUGGUGCCAGGUGAGGAGCAGUGGGCACCGAAGGUGUGGCUCCUUGGUGCAGUGGAGCUUGAGAAAUGAGACAGUAGUGCACAUCCCUGCCAAAGGGUCUGCAGCAAGAACGGUCAAGUGUGCUUGGCAGGGCGCUGAAGUGGAGAAAGGGUAUUUCCUUAGGCACUGGUGGCAAAGGCAGGGAAUCUUAAUACAUGUCUCCUCACCCACUCCAUAUCAAUAUGAGCUAGAGAAAGUCCGCAUCAGCUAUUGAGAGCCAAUUGUGUACAGCUCUUCCCAACUCCACAUUCACAACAUCAUGAAAUUGGCCACAGUGAGAAUAUUUACACCAUGGAAAUGGGCACAUACUUCAAAUCAGUAUUUUUUCUUUUGUUUUGUACCUGAUUGUUAAACAUUUACCAGCGUGCUACUGCAUGGGUUGCUGUGGACCACAAAUUUUCCAUAAAAGUCUGACCUCUCAUUCGUGCAUCUGCUAUAGUUCCCUUUCCAGAGAGCUGGGUGUGUUCUUGCAGGAUGCAUGCAACAUCCCGGUUUCUGGAGUUAGAAACCAACUAGCUGUCCCCAGGCACCGUAGAAUAAUGUGAGUGGCUGUUGCAAAGAGUUGACAAUACCACCGAAAACUCAAGAUUACCGAGCUCACUUCUGCUCUGCCUCUGAGAACGGUUCAUGCUUAACACCUGGAGGAGUGUCUAGGGUGACUAGAAACCAAGGGAGCACUCCUGUGACCAACGUCACAGGCAGAGCAAAGCUUCCCCUCUGUCCUCCUACCACAGCCUCCUCUUCCAACACUCACCAAUGGUCCUGGACUGCGCAGCUCAGGGACAUUUAGUCAUCAUUUGGCAUUGACAUGGGCAGGAUCUGGGGCAUCUUUUUGUGGCAUGGAGUGAAGGGUUAAUAGAGCCCCCGGGAGCCUAGCAUCCAGUUCCUUUAUCUCUUCUUUCCAAUUUCUUGACUUCUUUUCUUAUUUUAGUAUCUACCCCUAAGAUUCUGCAACUCCCCUGUUAAACGUCUUGCCCUCCUGGAUGACAUGACUUUUGAACUCACACAGAUCUGCUGUCAGUUCAGUUCUUUAGAGAGAACUGGGGCUCUCUCCAGUCUCAUUUCUUGAAUCUCCUUAAGUUCUCUUUACCGCUGACCUUAAUAAAAGAGAAGAGACAGGACUGGCCAUCUUUUGGGGAUCACCAAUAUAGCAAACUCCAACUCACAAAUGAUUGAAGACAGUUCACCUUUGCAAAGGUCUGGAUAGACCGGAGGAGGAGCAAGAAUAAACUACCUCUUACUCAUUCAUACGAAUCCUUUACCAUUGAGUUGUUUGUCAUAGCAAUAAAAUGUAAAUAGUUGAAAAGAAAACAACCAAGAAUUCAGUAAGAGGGGAUUGAUUAUAUAGCCAUUCAAAACCAUGAUGUAGAUGAAUAUCAAAUAACGUGGGACAAUGUCCACAAUGCAUUGCUAAACAGAUAAAAUAAAGUUAUAAUAUGAAUCCUACACACACACAUACAAAGCAACUAUAUAGAUACUAUCUAGACAAAGAAGAAAAAAACUGGUAAAGGCCACACAUCAAAAUGUCAAAUAUGUAUUAUUAAAUAUGAUUUUUACUAACUUUGCAUUUUUCAUUUUCAUAUCACUUUUUAAAAGUGCUCCCUUCUCUUUUAGUUGCUGAGAUGUUUAUCUCUCUAGUUGCUGGCGUUUCUGGAAAACCCCUUCUGCUUUUACUGUCUGAGCUAAAUGACCUGUCUGCCCUUAGGCGAUUGCUCAAGAAGGACAGUGAACUCAUUAUCACCCGCAGAAAUCAAACCAGAAUCCCUCAGCGGACUGUGUUCUGAGUCUGGAACUUGCACAUGUGUCCCCCCUUGCAGACAUAGCUUAUAUAGCCUCAUGUUCAGCCAAGAACAGCCCACUUCAUUUACUCAGCCAUUGCAGCGAGCAGCAAGGUGGUGUCAAAGCUUGCUUUCCAGUCACUUUGCAAGACAAAGGCCUGGAGGCAGCAGUUCAUAUCAGCGCAUCUGAGAGCCCAGUGCUCCUCCCACAGGUGUGGGCCAAGUGGGGCAGGAGAGCUAUUAGCCUAAGCCCCUCUCUUUGCCUCGGAGUUAUACGGAAAAUGAGCUUUGGUGAUCAUGUGUGAAUGAGGAGUUCCAUUACUAGAUUUUAUAGUUAGAACUUACUUCUAUCUUUAAUUCCAAUUUUAAUUCCAAUUUUAAAGAAUUCUGUGGGAAAUCUUUCUAAAAUCAUUUCACGCUGUUCUGCUUGGUAAGCAGAGAAAACAAAAACUUGCGAAUGUAUUUUGAUGUAUCCUAAUUUUAAUUAGUUUGCUCUGCUCUAAGUGAUGCUAAUAUGGCACACAGCCUUACACCAUGCAGCCCAAAACCAUUUGCCUCUCGCUUCCUUUCAUGAUGCUCUUCUCCCUCCUGGUUAAGAGGACACUUCACACUCCCUACAGAGAGAAGGUGUUAAUUUCUUUUCUCCUUUACAAUUCUCCACUUCUGAUACUAUCUUAAUUGUGACAACAAAGGAACAAUUCAUUAAUGUCAUUUUAAAAGUAUGAGUAAAUAAACUCUGAGUAAAGCUUUGAUUUUUGUUGUUGUUUUAUUCCUAUGGGUUUUGUUCAUAUUUUCAACCCGAUCUGGUCAGAAUUUUUUUUAGUUUACUUUUUUGUAGUCAUGCUCUGACAAGUUCAAGUGUUGGAGACACGAUCUCCAAGGUUCCACCUAUCUUAAAUACACUUUUUGCUACUAUUUUGCUCUGUGGGGGACUGGAAUUGGCCAUCCCGAGAUAUGUCUCUUUGGCAUGAGGAUUAUUUGGGGCUGGUUACUUUUAAUAAACUGCAAACAGGAAAGCAACUCUGAAAAGUAGAAUUUACUUACCCUUUGUGAAGAGGCCCUUAGUUGUCAUGUUUGCCUAAAUAAACUAUGUAUCUUUCAGUGGGAGAAAAAUCAUGUGCUACAAUUUUGUACACUAUACUAUUGUAACAUUGAGCAAUAGCUUGAUAACCACUGGUUAACUAGCUGUUCACAGAACUCUUAAUAACUGCCGAGGCCAGAGAUAAACCUUGAAAGAAGAAAUUAAAGACACAGUACAUAACAGUAUGAUGAAAAACCAAAAUUAGUAGGAGAAAUGAUAAUUGCUAAAACAAUGGUCUUUAAAUCUUUUUGUUUGGCAACUUCCUACAGAGAAGCAAAAAACUACGUAUUCAGUGGCACAUUUAUAAUUUGACUUGGAAAAUGUGUCAUAAGAAAUCUAAAGAGUUACAGAGAAAAUAUUUUUCAGUAUACUGUAAAUACUGACUUUAAAAAGUAAAUCUAUGGGCUGGCCCGGUGGCCGAGCGGUUAGCUUCGCGCACGGGCACUCCGCUGCAGGCGGCCCAGUGUUUCGUUGGUUCAAAUCCUGGGUGCUGUCAUGGCACUGCUCAUCAAACCACACUGAGGCAGCGUCCCACAUGCCACAACUAGAAGGACCCACAAUGAAG